ACACACAGAGACAGACGUCAUACGAAAGACGACACGUUUGACGUGAACAAGGGAAAAACAGAACCAAAACGUUACGUCAAGCGCUACUCUCGAACUGUGCAGGUGUGUGUGUGUGUGUGUGUUUUCUGCGUUUUUUUUUCUGCUGCGGCCCCUUCACCACCGCCAUCAUUGCCGUUCCCCUGGCUCACCUGCGCACCCUCUACAUCACACACGCUUUUCUUGUGGUGGUGGGGUCCCUUCACUUCUGCCGGCUUACCUUGCACUGCUGCCCUAUCAUCUGUGAAUCUCGCGUUGUAGUUUUUUUUUUGUUGUUGUCCUUCAUUUUCGUUUGCCUCGGCUCCAAUUCGUGCAUCCACGCACGCACGCGAUAACAUUGGCUCUUCCGAUCUUUCCCGCUCCUACUCUGGCGUGCACGCAUAUACGCACAGUUCUGGAAACGCAAGGCGCAACUCUCUCCAAGGCCUGCCUGCGAGCUUGGCAAGCACAACGGCAGCGACGCGAGAGUUUCACAGCCACGCACGCGCACACGUUCUCUCUCCGUUGCGGCUGCGCUUCGCACAGUCCCAUCCGCGCCACCACCACCGCCACCACACAGGCCGCUGUCCUCCUCGCCGGCCCCGCCGCCCCCUCCGCUUGCCUCUAAAGUCGAGACUCGCUCCAGGUGGCACGCGCAAGGCAGCGAAAGCACGGACACGCACGACUUUGCGAUACACGCAGAAUUGAAAACCGAGAACAUAAGAAAAGGUGGUGUGUCUGUCUGUGUUGAGGAAAAAAAAGCGC
rnacentral:misc_RNA from 1 species